UAGCAGCAGCAGUGAAGAUGCUGCAAGCAGUAACCAAAAAGAAAGAAAUGUAAAUCACACCACCUCAAAGAUUUCAUGGGAAUUCCCUGAGUCAAGUUCAUCUGAAGAAGAGGAAAACCUGGAUGAUUAUGACUGGUUUGCUGGUAACAUCUCCAGAUCACAAUCUGAACAGUUACUCAGACAAAAGGGAAAAGAAGGAGCAUUUAUGGUUAGAAAUUCGAGCCAAGUGGGAAUGUACACAGUGUCCUUAUUUAGUAAGGCUGUGAAGCAUGAUCACACGGCUCCGCCACCCUGUGUCAACAAAGGCCAACAAGGUCCCCGACUCUGUGUCCCUGGGAAAUGGAAUCUGGGAACUGAAAAGAGAAGAGAUUACCUUGUUGAAGGAGCUGGGAAGUGGCCAGUUUGGAGUGGUCCAGCUGGGCAAGUGGAAGGGGCAGUAUGAUGUUGCUGUUAAGAUGAUCAAGGAGGGCUCCAUGUCAGAAGAUGAAUUCUUUCAGGAGGCCCAGACUAUGAU
rnacentral:sRNA from 1 species